rnacentral:RNase_P_RNA from 1 species
GUGAGCUGGCGGACAGCUCCGAGCCUUCAAAGCUUGAGGAAACUCCGCCCACCACGCAGAAUUGCAGCAUCCGAAAGGGUGCAAGGCGAGAGCUUUGGCAACAGAACAGAAACGAAACGUCCAUCCAAGCAGUUGACGAUGAUACAUGCUAAGUUGUUGAAGGAUGCUGGAUGUGAAACGGUGAAACGGCUGUCCUGCAAGGUGUAAGGGCAAAUAGGCGCCCAUGAAGAACUGCAAGAGGCGCGGGUAGCCCGA